GCCAGGUGUGGUGGCACAUGCCUGUAAUCCCAGUGGCUUGGGAGGCUGAGACAGGAGAUCAAAGGUUCAAAGCCAGCCUCAGCAAAGGUGAGGCACUAAGCAACUCAGGGAGAAGACCCUGUCUCUA
rnacentral:sRNA from 1 species